rnacentral:rRNA from 1 species
GUGCCAGCCGCCGCGGUAAUACGGAGGGGGCAAGCGUUGUUCGGAUUUACUGGGCGUAAAGGGUGUGUAGGCGGCCGCAUAAGUCUGGUGUGAAAUCUUCACCGCUCAACGGGAAGAGGUCACUGGAAACUGUGUGGCUCGAGAAUGGUAGAGGCAAGCGGAAUUCCUGGUGUAGCGGUGGAAUGUGUAGAUAUCAGGAAGAACAUCUGUGGCGAAGGCGGCUUGCUGGGCCAUCACUGACGCUGAGACACGAAAGCGUGGGGAGCAAACGGGAUUAGAUACCCCGGUAGUCCACGCUGUAAACGGUGCGCACUAGGUGUGGGAGGUAUCGACCCCUCCUGUGCCGCAGUUAACACAUUAAGUGCGCCGCCUGGGGAGUACGGCCGCAAGGUUGAA